AUAUUAAAGUUGUUGCGGUAAAAAAGCUCGUAGUUGGAUUUCUGUUGAGGACGACCGGUCCGCACCAUGUGCGCGCAUCUGGCUCGGCCUCGGCAUCCUCUCGAAAGACGUUUCUGCGCUUGAUUGCGUGGGGCGGAGUUCGAGACUUUUACUUUGAGGAAAUUAGAGUGUUCACGGCAGGCUAUCGCCAGAAUACAUUAGCAUGGAAUAAUACUAUAGGAUCUCGAUUCUAUUUUGUUGGUUUCUAGAAGCGAGAUAAUGAUUAAUAGGGACAAUUGGGGGCAUUCGUAUCAACACGUCAGAGGUGGAAUUCUUGGAUUGUGUUGCGACGAACUACUGCGAAAGCAUUUGCCAAGGAUGUUUUCAUUGAUCAAGAACGAAAGUAAGGGGAUCGAAGACGAUUAGAUACCGUCGUAGUCUUUACCAUAAACUAUGCCAACUAGAGAUGGGGCAUCGUUCACUUACGACUUGCUCCGCACCUUAUGAGAUAUCAAAGUCUUUGGGUUCCGGGGGGAGUAUGGUCGCAAGGCUGAAACUUAAA
rnacentral:rRNA from 1 species